rnacentral:misc_RNA from 1 species
GUAGGUGAACCUGCGGAAGGAUCAUCCAAAAUACUCCCGCAUGAGCUUGGGUUUUCCGUUUUGAAUAAGGUUGGUUGGCUUACAUUUGGUUUGGUUGGCUUACAUUUUUAACAAUGCUGGAUAGAUCAGGAAAAAACGGAUAUAAAUCAUCAGAUGAAAAGGGAAAAAAAAUCCAAUUAUCACCCCCACCGACGCACUUAUUGAAAGGACUUUUUAAACCAAACCUUUUGACUGAAUUUUUUGACUGACC